rnacentral:rRNA from 1 species
AGAGUUUGAUCCUGGCUCAGGAUGAACGCUAGCGAAGUGCCUAAUACAUGCAAGUCGAACAGUCUUCGGACAAGUGGCAAACGGGCGAGUAACACGUGCAUAAUCUGCCCUUGAGAGGGGGACAACAUCGGAAACGGUGCUAAUCCCGCAUACGUUUAGGAAGAAAGAAAGAUUUAUCGCUCAAGGAGGAGUGCGCGGACCACCAGUUAGUUGGUAGGGUAAAGGCCUACCAAGACAAUGACGGAUAGCCGGCCUGAGAGGGUGACCGGCCGCAAUGGGACUGAGACACGGCCCAUACCCCUACGGGGGGCAGCAGUAGGGAAUCUUGCGCAAUGGACGAAAGUCUGACGCAGCGACUUCGCGUGAAGGAUGAAGCCUUAAGGGGUGUAAACUUCUUUUCUGGGGGAAGACGAAUGACGGUACCUCAGGAAUAAGGGACGGCUAACUACGUGCCAGCAGCCGCGGUAAUACGUAGGUCUCGAGCGUUAUCCGGAGUUACUGGGCGUAAAGAGUCCGUAGCCGGCUAAUUAAGUCUACUUUCAAAGACCGGAGCUCAACUUCGGGAAGGGAGUAGAUACUGAUUAGCUAGAGAUAGGUAGAGGUUAGUGGAAUUUCCGGUGGAGGGGUGGAAUCCGUUGAUAUCGGAAGGAAUGCCGAAAGCGAAAGCAGCUGGCUAUACCUUUUCUGACGGUGAAAGACGAAAGCAUGGGUAGCAAACAGGAUUAGAUACCCUGCUAGUCCAUGCUGUAAACGAUCCUCGCUAGAUGUCUAUCGCAAGAUUGGUGUCGAAAGUUAACACGUUAAGCGGGGCGCCUGGGGAGUAUAGUCGCAAGACCGAAACUCAAAGGGAUAGGCGGGGGAACACACAAGCGGUGGAUUGCCUCGAUUAAUUGGAUAAUAAGCCAAGAAUCUUACCUGGGCUUGACAUCCUCAGAAUCAUUUAGAGAUGAUGAAGUGCCUAGCUUGCUAGGAACUGAGUGACAGGUGCUGCAUGGCCGUCGUCAGCUCGUGCCGCAAGGUGUCCGGUUAAGUCCGGGAACGAGCGCAACCCUUAUUGUUAGUUAGGAUGUCUAACAAGACUGCUCUCGCAAGGGAGAGGAAGGAGGGGAUGACGUCAGGUCAUUAUGGCCCUUAUGCCCAGGGCGUCAGAGGCAAUACAAUGGGUGGUACAAAGGGAAGCAAAACUGAUAGGAGGAGCAAAACCUGAAAGCCAUCCUAAGUGCGGAUUGAAGUCUGGAAUUCGACUUCAUGAAGUUGGAAUCGCUAGUAAUGGUGAAUCAGCCAUGUCACCGUGAAUAAGUCCCUGUUCCUUGCACUCACCGCCCGUCACACCAUGGGAGUUGGGGCUCUUUGAAGAUGCGCCAAGCGCGUUAAGGAGAGAAUCAGUAACUGGGGUGAAGUCGUAACAAGGUAGCCGUA